rnacentral:piRNA from 1 species
CUUAAGAGAAAUCGUCUAGUCCAG